rnacentral:lncRNA from 1 species
UGAGGGGUUCGCAGAACCCGGGAAGGAGUGCGAGUGAGCUGGGGACGUCCUCUGAAUCUUUGGGGCACCGGAACCAGGACUGGGAGUGCGCAGUCGCGGGUUGUUAGGGCCAGCGCUCCGGAACUUUGCGAGCUUCACCUUGUGCCCCGGGAGAGAGCACUGAGAACAAACCUAUUAACAACAUUAAGGAGUUGGGUCUGUACUCCAGUUAUCCAGGUUCAAUUCUUGUAAUUCCAGUUUUACAGUUGCUUGUGCUGCCCUUUGCAAAUUAAGAGACUUCACAUUUGAUCUAAAAAUGUUCAACUCUGCAGACAUGGUCUUUCCACUGGAAAAUUUAUUUUACGAAAGACCAGAUAUGAGACAAAGGUAAAGCUUUAUUGUUAGACAUGUAUAACUGUUCUGCAAGAUUUUCCACACUCUGAAUCAUUUUACAGUAGUAUUCUUGUGACUCACUUUUUUGUCUACUGAUAGAAACAUGGGACUAG